rnacentral:lncRNA from 1 species
UAAACUUUGUGUAUAUUGAGUAGGGACUGCUGUUUGAUUACUUGAUAAUUUCUUGGUUGACUGAGUUGAUAUUAGUUAUGUUUUUGGCUUGUUAUAAAGUGAAUUGAUUGUGAUGUGUUGUGAAGUGAAUUGAUUGUGAUGUGUUGUGAAGUGAAUUGAUUGUGAUGUGUUGUGAAGUGAAAUGAUUGUGAUUAAGGAUUGAUGACUUUUGUAUGGAUAUUGUGUGAUCGGAAAAGCUGAGCCGGGCGGAUAGCUACCCGAGUAUGUGAGAUGGCAAGACUGAGCCGGGCGGAUAGUCUUGUCAAGUGGUUAUUGAAAUUUAAAAAUGUGAGGAAAUGUAAGGAUGAGUCAUCUGAUCCUAAUUUGAUAGAAAUAAUGUGGAAUUGAAUUAUUUGACUUGGUUGAGUUUGAGAUUAUUUGCAUUACGUGAGAUGAAAUUAUAUGUUUAUGAGAAUAACUGAAAUGGUUGAUUUUGUGAUUGUUAGUUAAGUGUUGGUAUAAUUUUCUGUAUUGAUAAAGAUUU